rnacentral:miRNA from 1 species
UUGGCCAAAAAGUUCGUUUGGGUUUUUCCAGAAGAUGUUACAGAAAAACCCAAAUGAAGUUUUUGUCCA